rnacentral:rRNA from 1 species
AACGAACGCUGGCGGCAUGCCUAACACAUGCAAGUCGAGCGAGACCUUCGGGUCUAGUGGCGCACGGGUGCGUAACGCGUGGGAACCUGCCCUCAGGUUCGGAAUAACUCCCCGAAAGGGGUGCUAAUACCGGAUAAUGUCUUCGGACCAAAGAUUUAUCGCCUUUGGAUGGGCCCGCGUUGGAUUAGCUAGUUGGUAGGGUAAAAGCCUACCAAGGCGACGAUCCAUAGCUGGUCUGAGAGGAUGAUCAGCCACACUGGGACUGAGACACGGCCCAGACUCCUACGGGAAGCAGCAGUGGGGAAUAUUGGACAAUGGGCGAAAGCCUGAUCCAGCAAUGCCGCGUGAGUGAUGAAGGCCUUAGGGUUGUAAAGCUCUUUUACCCGGGAUGAUAAUGACAGUACCGGGAGAAUAAGCUCCGGCUAACUCCGUG